rnacentral:lncRNA from 1 species
AUCAAAUUGGACACUCCUAGCCUUUUAUGUGGCCAACCCUAGCUCACGGUACAGACAAGUGUUGUUGAAUCAGUUUAGUUUUCUUGAUUCAUGUUUUGGCAGAUAUUUUGUAUCCAUUCGAAUCCUCAAUCUCUAAUGUGAACUCUCAUACUUUUUCCAAUUAAAUUGGACACUUCUAGCCUUGUAUGUGGCCAACCCUAGCUCAC